UGUGCCACUCUGCAUCUUCAGUGGUAUCCAUUUUGUUUACACUAUCAACCAAACUUUCUAUGCUAAGAAAAGCAAGAUGCAGAAUGGGUCUGAAAAAAGAGAUUGAAUGCUGGGCUGGAACUCAGACCAGGAUUCUAGCCCCAAGUGUGACAUUUGUGUGACUUGAGGCAAAUCCCUUCAUGCCCUGGGUCUGGUUUCUUGGCUAUAAAGUGGGGAAGUUGGAAGACA
rnacentral:lncRNA from 1 species